rnacentral:tRNA from 1 species
UCUAAUAUGGCAGAUUAGUGCAAUGGAUUUAAACUCCUUAUAUAAAGUAAUUCACUUUUAUUAGAA